GAGUUUGAUCAUGGCUCAGGAUGAACGCUGGCGGCGUGCUUAACACAUGCAAGUCGAACGAACCUUCGGGUUAGUGGCGGACGGGUGAGUAACGCGUGGGAAUCUACCCUCAGGAGGGGGAUAACGGUUGGAAACGACCGCUAAUACCCCAUAUGCCGAGAGGUGAAAUGAAUUUCGCCUGAGGAUGAGCCCGCGUCUGAUUAGCUUGUUGGUGAGGUAAUGGCUCACCAAGGCAUCGAUCAGUAGCUGGUCUGAGAGGAUGAUCAGCCACACCGGGACUGAGACACGGCCCAGACUCCUACGGGAGGCAGCAGUGGGGAAUUUUCCGCAAUGGGCGAAAGCCUGACGGAGCAACGCCGCGUGAGGGACGAAGGCCUCUGGGCUGUAAACCUCUUUUCUCAAGGAAGAAGAUAUGACGGUACUUGAGGAAUAAGCCACGGCUAAUUCCGUGCCAGCAGCCGCGGUAAUACGGGAGUGGCAAGCGUUAUCCGGAAUUAUUGGGCGUAAAGCGUCCGCAGGCGGCCCUUCAAGUCUGCUGUUAAAACGUGGAGCUUAACUCCAUCAUGGCAGUGGAAACUGAUUGGCUUGAGUAUGGUAGGGGCAGAGGGAAUUCCCGGUGUAGCGGUGAAAUGCGUAGAUAUCGGGAAGAACACCAGUGGCGAAGGCGCUCUGCUGGGCCAUUACUGACGCUCAUGGACGAAAGCCAGGGGAGCGAAAGGGAUUAGAUACCCCUGUAGUCCUGGCCGUAAACGAUGAACACUAGGUGUCGGGGGAAUCGACCCCUUCGGUGUCGUAGCUAACGCGUUAAGUGUUCCGCCUGGGGAGUACGCACGCAAGUGUGAAGCUCAAAGGAAUUGACGGGGGCCCGCACAAGCGGUGGAGUAUGUGGUUUAAUUCGAUGCAACGCGAAGAACCUUACCAGGGCUUGACAUCCUGCGAACCUUUAAGAAAUUAGAGGGUGCCUUCGGGAACGCAGUGACAGGUGGUGCAUGGCUGUCGUCAGCUCGUGUCGUGAGAUGUUGGGUUAAGUCCCGCAACGAGCGCAACCCACGUUUUUAGUUGCCAGCAUUUAGUUGGGCACUCUAGAAAGACCGCCGGUGAUAAACCGGAGGAAGGUGUGGAUGACGUCAAGUCAUCAUGCCCCUUACGUCCUGGGCUACACACGUACUACAAUGCUACGGACAAAGGGCAGCAAACUCGCGAGAGCUAGCAAAUCCCAUAAACCGUGGCUCAGUUCAGAUCGUAGGCUGCAACUCGCCUACGUGAAGUAGGAAUCGCUAGUAAUCGCAGGUCAGCAUACUGCGGUGAAUACGUUCCCGGGCCUUGUACACACCGCCCGUCACACCAUGGAAGUUGGCCAUGCCCGAAGUCGUUACUUUAACCCUUGUGGAGAAGGACGCCGAAGGUGGGGCUGAUGACUGGGGUGAAGUCGUAACAAGGUAACC
rnacentral:rRNA from 1 species